ACAUGCAUAUCAAAUAGUGGGCAUUGGAUUCUUACAAUCAUUCAAGUUGAAAAAGGACAAGCUUUUCUAAUGGAUCCUAAAAGUCAUCGUAAUAAGGACAUCAUAUGGAAGUCUGUUGUCGACACGUAAGUUUUGAAUUAUACAACUAAUUAAUCAUCUCUUUCAUUUUAUUUGAUGUUAAUGUUAACUUUAUAUAAAUUUCCUUUCAAGUGCGAUAAGUAUGGUCACUGCAAAAAAGGGAAAGAAAAUGAAAAAAGCAACUUGGGAAGUUAUAAAGGUAUGUAUGCUUAAUUUACUGACAGUUUUGGGCAGUUUAUUUGAUGUUAAUGUUAACGUUAUAUAAAUUCUUUCAUGUUUUUGUUGGAUAGUUGGUAAAAUGCAGCCUAACCAUUUUAUUUCUGUAAUAAUUAUAGGGUCCUACACAACCUAAUGACAAGCAAUGUGGUUAUUUUGUGAUGAGGUUUAUGAGAGAUAUUAUCGAAGGGUUUCAAAAUGCAGCAGCCUCUACUUUUCACUUGUCAUCACUGUUUAAAGGAGUUACUACUUAUUCUCAAAAUCAACUCAACGAGGUCCGUGAAGAAUGGGCAACAUGUGUGAUAAAGCAUGCAUUGGAUGGAUAGAUGCUUUACAUGAAGUGAAAUAGAGACGUGACAGGAGAAAGGUUAUUUCAAUCGAGAUGGCUAUCUAUCAAGCUAGUAGCAUCAUUUUGUAGACUUUGUUUGCACGCACGAUUGAUAGAACAUGUCUUUUUGUUAACUCUAUUUUGGAUGGUGAUUGUAUGAAAA